rnacentral:ncRNA from 1 species
AUAAAGGCUUUGAAAAGGAAGAGUAAGUAAUUACUAUUUUAAAGAGAGAGAAAUUUUAGCUGAAAGUUUCUUAAAUGUGUAUUAUUGAAAACCACCUUUGAGCUGAGUGCUGAACUGUUUAGUAAGCAUCUCCGUAUAUCUGCGUUAUUGAUUUGAGUGAAAAGAAGAUAAUAUAACUUCUUUUAAUUUGGGUGGAAGCACGGUAACUCGUCCCUUUG